rnacentral:rRNA from 1 species
AUUAAACGCUGGCGGCAUGCCUUACACAUGCAAGUCGAACGGUAGCGCGGGGCAACCUGGCGACGAGUGGCGAACGGGUGAGUAAAGCAUCGGAACGUGCCCUGGAAUGGGGGAUAACGUAGCGAAAGUUACGCUAAUACCGCAUAUUCUGUGAGCAGGAAAGCAGGGGAUCGCAAGACCUUGCGUUCUGGGAGCGGCCGAUGUCGGAUUAGCUAGUUGGUGGGGUAAAAGCCUACCAAGGCGACGAUCCGUAGCGGGUCUGAGAGGAUGAUCCGCCACACUGGGACUGAGACACGGCCCAGACUCCUACGGGAGGCAGCAGUGGGGAAUUUUGGACAAUGGGCGGAAGCCUGAUCCAGUCAUGCCGCGUGAGUGAAGAAGGCCUCGGUUGUAAG